UACGUAGGGGGCAAGCGUUGUCCGGAUUUACUGGGCGUAAAGGGCUCGUAGGCGGCCAACUAAGUCAGACGUGAAAUCCCUCAGCUUAACUGGGGAACUGCGUCUGAUACUGGAUGGCUUGGAUUUGGGAGAGGGAUGCGGAAUUCCAGGUGUAGCGGUGAAAUGCGUAGAUAUCUGGAGGAACACCGGUGGCGAAGGCGGCAUCCUGGACCAACACUGACACUGAUGAGCGAAAGCCAGGGGAGCAAACGGG
rnacentral:rRNA from 1 species